CUCCUGGAAAGCAUGUGGUGAUUUCUCUUCUCUUACAAACAUCAGAUCCUAUGAAGACUCUAUAGUAUGGCUUUUAUUUGAGGUGUAUACAUGUAAAAGAACAGAGCAAAUCAGCAUACAGUGAGAGAAAAGGAUAUUUUAGCGCGAAUUUCUCACACCAAAUUCACGUUUUUCUUUUCGUUUGGUUCCCAACAUCCUGGGCAUAAAUAUAUAUCUUAUCUAUUUAUUGAAAUACCAUAUUCGGAGUGGCUACUCGGUCUAUUUUAACGCAGAAGAUGCAAAGAUGUCUGUUACUAACAAUGAUUUUAAAGAGAUAAUCUAACUGAAGAGAGGAAAUAAAGGCCAUUGGCACACAUGCAGCAUUUCAAGUACAUAUUAAGUUCAGUGAUCACACAGAACCACUGAGGUAACAAUGGCCACACAUACAAAGGCAUGUAAGACUAGAAAAGCCAUGUCUUUGAGCAACUGAAGAGAACAGUUUGGAGCUGAAGGCAUGAGAGGAGGCUAGCAAGAGACACGAGUACGAUGACACAAUCUCAGCUCACUGUGAUCUUGAACUCCUGGAUUCAAGCAGUCCUCCCACCUCAGCCUUUCAAGUAUAUAAGACUACAGGUGUAUGCCACCAUGCCUGGCUAUUUUCUCUUCUAUAGAAACAGAGCCUUACUGUGUUGUCCAGGCUGGUCUUAAACUCCUAGGCUCAAGUGAUCCUCCUGCCUCAGCCUCUCACAGUGCUGGAAUUACAGAUGGAGUUUUGCUCUUGUUGCCCAGGCUGGAGUGCAAUGGAACAAUCUCAGCUCACUACAACCUCCGUCUCCCUGGUUCAAGUGAUUCUCCUGCCUCAGCCUCCUAAUAGCUAGGAUUACAAUCAUGCACCACCAUGCCUGGCUAAUUUUGUAUUUUUAGUAGAGACAGGGUUUCUCCAUGUUAGUCAGGCUGGUCUUAAGCUCCCGACCUCAGGUGUGCCGCCCUCCUUGGCCUCCCAAAGUGCUGGGAUUACAGGCAUGAGCCACACGCGCCCUCUAUCCUUGCUUUUAAUGAUGAGGAAGCCAAGGUCCCAGAGGUCUGAUGGUUUGUUACUAAGUAGCAGAGCAGACUCACAAGUAGGAGUAAGUAGAAACCCAUACCUCUUUUUUUUCCACUGGUCUAGUGCAAGAGAAAGAUACUAGAAAAUAGACUCUGGGAGAGCAAGAAUCUGAAUACUUCCAACACUUGGCGCAGUUCCUGCACACAGGAACGUUUCAAAAGUGAUGGUGAAAUGAAGGAGUGCAGUCUGGUGAGUGACAGUGCUCUGCAUACUCCUUUACCAGACAGCCCUGGAAAAGAAGACAGGAUAGCAUGCCUCGGACAACCUCCUUGAGUGAUUUUAGGCAGAACUUUUAAGCCUUUGGCACAUAUUUGAAUCACCUGUGGAACUUUUAACAAUUUAAACAUCCUGGCAACACCCUUACCUGCUAAUGUAAGAUCUAAAUGAUACCCUUUAGAGCUAGGUCUCACUGAAUCUUUGCCAUUCAACUCAUUGAAACACAAGUUUCGGGACAACACAGAGCAGAAACCAAAUGGUUUUUUAAAAUUUCCAUUAUUUAAACAGGUAUUAAUUAAUAAACAAAUGACACUUGAAUCUUUCCA
rnacentral:lncRNA from 13 species